AGGUUGGACGGAUAGAAAGCUGUCUUAAUAAGUUGUAUUGAAUUUAACAUUUGUGUGAAAAGGCAUAAAUAAAUUUAGGGGACGAUAAGACCCUAUAAAAUUUAACAUAUAAUAAUUUCUUUUUUUAAUGGUUAAUUAAUUUAUAAAGCGAUUUAAGGUGUUUUGCUGGGGCGGCAUUGAUAUAAUUUUGUAACUGUCAUAAGAAUUUAAUAUAGGUUUAUAGAUUAUGGUCCUUUAUUAAGGAGUGAAGAUUAAGUUACUUUAGGGAUAACAGCAUAAUUUUUUCUGAGAGUUCUUAUCGAAGAAAUAAGUUGUGACCUCGAUGUUGAAUUAAAAUAUUCCUCUGGAAGCAGGAGUUUAGAAGGAAGGACUGUU
rnacentral:rRNA from 1 species